CAACGGCCGCCGUCCUACUCCGCUUCCUCGCGCAGGUGGCAGGUCGCCUCUGGCAGAACCUCUUCCUUCGUUCCCAGUCCCCAGCCUCUUGGCGUUUUGUCUGACGCCUCUUUUGUGUCGGACUCGACGCUUUCAGCCCGUCCUCCAGUGUUUUCAUCCCCCUCUCCCCAACGUUGCACUCUCAGACUCCGCAAACCCCGCCCGAUUUGGUUCAAUUAAAGUUGACCAGUAUUUGUUCCGAGCUUAGGAAGUACUUGGCCAGGCCAUGCGAGGCCUAUAUGAGAAGAAUGCUAAGUUCAUCUGCAAGACAGACAUACAGCAUCUACUCUUCAAGACUGCUUUAAGGAUAAGAGGAAUUGAAUGUAAAGUGCUGA
rnacentral:lncRNA from 1 species